GACGAACGCUGGCGGCGUGCUUAACACAUGCAAGUCGAACGGAAAGGCCCUGCUUUUGUGGGGUGCACGAGUGGCGAACGGGUGAGUAACACGUGAGUAACCUGCCCUUGACUUUGGGAUAACUUCAGGAAACUGGGGCUAAUACCGGAUAGGAGCUCCUGCUGCAUGGUGGGGGUUGGAAAGUUUCGGCGGUUGGGGAUGGACUCGCGGCUUAUCAGCUUGUUGGUGGGGUAGUGGCUUACCAAGGCUUUGACGGGUAGCCGGCCUGAGAGGGUGACCGGCCACAUUGGGACUGAGCUACGGCCCAGACUCCUACGGGAGGCAGCAGUGGGGAAUAUUGCACAAUGGGCGGAAGCCUGAUGCAGCAACGCCGCGUGCGGGAUGACGGCCUUCGGGUUGUAAACCGCUUUCGCCUGUGACGAAGCGUGAGUGACGGUAAUGGGUAAAGAAGCACCGGCUAACUACGUG
rnacentral:rRNA from 1 species